ensembl:lncRNA novel transcript
GGUCGAGUGGGUCCAGGGGGAGCCUUGGUGGCCAAGUCUGCUGUGUGGCCGCAGUAGAAUCCUGAGCCUGGGUGAGGGGGAAGAGCAGAAGUUUCCUUCCCACAUUUCUGGAGGCUGGGGGUGCAAGAUCAAGGCGCCGGCGUCCCCGGGGCCUCCUGGCUGUGUUCUUGGAGGCUAGAGGGCGCUGGAGGCCGCAGGAAGCCUCUUGUGUGACGGCCUUGAUCCCCUUCACUGGGAGGAGACCUGGAGCUAGUCAUCCUCCAACACUAUCACGUCGGCAACGCCUGGGUCUUGGAGGGGACACAUUCGAACCUCAGCCAGGUACAAGCAGGAGCAGGGAGGCCCUGACGGGGCAGGACGGUGACACCUCCUCUCCACACCUCUGCAGCAGAAGAUCGUGCCUCCUGGUGGGGAUGAUUAUUGAUUAAAGCAUCUGAAUUCAAUCAGAA